AAAACAUCGCCUCUUGCAAUAAAACCAAGUAUAAGAGGUCCAGCCUGCCCGGUGACCACAAGUUUAACGGCCGCGGUAUUUUGACCGUGCAAAGGUAGCGCAAUCACUUGUCUUUUAAAUAAAGACCUGUAUGAAUGGCUAAACGAGGGCUUAACUGUCUCCCAUUUCAAGUCAGUGAAAUUGAUCUAUCCGUGCAGAAGCGGGUAUAAAUAUACAAGACGAGAAGACCCUUUGGAGCUUAAGGUAAAAACUCAACCACGUUAAGCAACUCAAUAAAAAGCAAUUUUUAACUUUGUGGUAAAUGAAAUAAUUGCCUUCGGUUGGGGCGACCACGGAGGAAAACAAAGCCUCCAAGUGGAAAGGGGUAAACCCUAAAACCAAGAGAGACAUCUCAAAGCCACAGAACAUCUGACCAUAAAGAUCCGGUUAACUAAAACCGAUCAACGAACCAAGUUACCCUAGGGAUAACAGCGCAAUCCUCUCCCAGAGUUCAUAUCGACGAGGGGGUUUACGACCUCGAUGUUGGAUCAGGACAUCCUAAUGGUGCAGCCGCUAUUAAGGGUUCGUUUGUUCAACGAUUAAAGUCCUACGUGA
rnacentral:rRNA from 1 species